UCAAUUCGAGUUUAGAGCGCAGAUAGAUGCCUGACAGCACGAGACAAACCAGCUAGCACGAGACAAAGUAGCCGUUUCAUUGCACUGUUGUGAGCAACCGUGAUAUCUGGCUGGAUACCGAUAAGACACCGGACUUUGAGUUUGGAUUUAAAAUGGGGUUUUGAUGAGCAUCGAUUCCAGAAAAGGUCUCUGAAGUUGUGAGAGGAUAAUAAGCAAGCAAGCAAGAUGAGCUGGGCC